rnacentral:tRNA from 2 species
GCCCAGGUAGCUCAGUCGGUAGAGCAUCCGCCUGAAAAGUGGAAGGUCACCAGUUCGAUCCUGGUCUUGGGCA